UUUUAGUACUUUUUGAAUUUAAAAAAGAAACCUAAAUUUGAGAAAGUUAUAGCUUGCUAAAGUUUCUUUGAUGACGGUAACUUCAAAAGAUUUCGCAUAUAAGGUAUGACGUCACAGCACAUUUUCGUGUACUAUAUUUUCUUCAAUUUUAAAGAUAUUGCAAAAAUUCAAAAAGUUUACAAAAAAAGUAUGCCAUAAUCUAUCUCAGACCGUUUAAUAAAAAAAAUUUAUCUUAAAACCGAAUUGUGUCUGCUGAACGCGCCCAUUGUCACUCGCGCAUGACCGAAUCGCACAACCAACAACAUGGCGGCUGUAAACAAUAAACAUAUGUAGUAGCUGCAACAUCUAUCCAUAACACGAUUCAUAACCUCUACCAGUCACAUUGUACAAGUUAAAAAGGAUUUUAUAAAGUAGAAGAAAACAUAGAUCAUCACUAAACUACGCUAUAUAGUCCAAAGGAAGGGUUGAAGGCGUCAAUAAUUCCAACCGGAAUUAACAACCACCAAAAAAAAAUCUUAAUCCGUCAUUUAAAUCCGUUGAGUAUAGUCAAUAUUGUGUUCAAUUAUUGUGUGCUAUUAUUCUGUUAAAAUCCAGUUAGUAUAUAUAUAUGAGUAAAAGUAUGACUGACAGAGGUGGAUAUCGUUGUGCCUUCAAAGGUUGCCGAAGUGCAAGUAAUGACAAACGAGGGAUAAAAGAAACUUUGUUUCGAUUCCCAAAAGAUGCAGAAAGGUCAAAGUUAUGGGUAUCAGCCUGUGAUCGAGAGGAAUUGACUUCAAAGACAGCCAUACAACUUUAUAAAGAUUAUAGAGUAUGCAAACUCCAUUUUGCAAAUUAUAUGUUUUUAAAUUAUGAGAAAACGAGAUUGCAGCCACAUGCCGUUCCAAGUUAUAUUGUGAAAAAUAAUGAUAAAAAAGCAAGUUCAAGUAGCUCAAAUGUAGAAACACGCUCUAUAAACACUUCAAAAAUUAAAAAUACGCAAGAAGAAAAUACUGCAUUGGAUUUGACUGUAUCUAAUAAUAUGGACCUGGAUGUACUUAUAGACAGAACAAUAGCAAAUGUAUCAGAUGUACCAGGAACACAAACGCCUUUGUCAUUAUCUUCUAUAUCUCUACGAAAAGUACAUCAACAGAUAACAGAAUAUAAAAAAAGAAUAAGCAAUUUGGAGUUAGAAUUACAUCAAGCAAAAAAAGCCAAAAAUGAAGAUAUUAAUGCAUUAGAUAUGUUACUAGACAAAUAUUUUCCAAAACAGACAUCCGAUUUUCUAAAAAUGCAAGCACGUCUCUUUCAAAAUGCAAAAGGGUACAAUAAGAGUGCAUCAGUAAACUCAAAUUAAAGAGAAAAAAAGAAUUGGACAUGAUAUUUAAGUUUAUGACUGAUCGAAGACGGAUACACACAUUUGUAUUUUGUAUAUACAAUUUUACAUCUAUCAGAUUAUAUUUUUCUAAUCUCUUGCAAUUUUAAACACACUUCGAUUUAAUUCACUUAUUUAAGAACUAAAAUAAGUGAAGGUGUUCAGACAUAGGUAUGUGUCCACUAACUGUCCAGGCAUUUAUACAUUUACCUUACAGUGAUUUCAACAAAAUUGUAUUUCAAUUAAAAGUAAAUAAUUAAUAAAAUCUUUUUACAGUAUUUAUAUAUAUAUAUAGGAUUGUUAUUAGAUUAUUAGAUUUAUAUCUUUUUUUUAUUGUAUCGAUUGCCUUUCAAAUUAGAGCCCGCGCAUAACCAGCGCAAAAUAUGGCGAAACCUAUGGCCUAGGGAAGAAGUUCGAGGUCUGUCAUUCGGAGUUGAUCCUUUUGGGUCCUUCUUGAUCUGUCACGAUCAAUCACGAUCUGUCACUAAUUUGUAAACAGAAACGACAAGCUGAGAACUUUGACAAUUCGAAUGAGAAAUUUUAUUAGAGAGAAGAUAUUUGACGCAUAUAUAUGAAAGAUAUUUUUGCCAAUACUUUUUGCCAUUCUAUCGCGAAAUGAAUGCAUUAUUUUGAUUUUUUGGGGUUAGGUUACUCCAACUGACUACAGAGUAAAAAAGCGCCUUUAACUCUGUUCUUGGAUUAUCUGACAGAAAAGACUCUUGAACCAUGUAUACUCCUAAAUCAAAGUGAUUACAUUGUUUACAUUGUUCUAGAUUGUAUCAAUUUACUCUAGAACUGAACUAAUCUAGAACACUAAAAUUUGAUAUUUGAAGUAUUAAAGAUUUUUCUUCACCAUUUUAUUGACAAUUAAUACUCUUUUUGACAUACAAUGACACGUGUAUGCAUCUGCUGCAAAUAUCGUGCGAGCAAAGACGUAUCACUGUUGGAUGUGUCGCUUUUCGGGUUCCCAAAGUCAGACGAAUUGCUGAAGAAAUGGUCGCUCGUGAUCGGCACAGACAAGAAGAUUACCAGAUCGUCGCAAAUAUGCUCACGUCACUUUAAGGAAGAGGACUUUAGGUACAGUCUAGUCGGAGGCAAACGUUAUUUGAAGAAGGAGGCGAUACCGUCCCUCCAUCUAAACAAGGAGACCAAGGAUGAGACAGUUUCGAACAAUCAAGGCACAAUAAUUAAAGAAAACCAGUCAACAAACACUGCUGUAAUUGAAUAUAACGAGAGAGCCCCUGAGAACAAAGUUUCAAAUAUUGUAGAAUUACAUAUAAAAGCUGUAAGAGACGACAAACUGUCCGAAAGACUAUCGCUCGCUCCAGCAGGCCCAAGUGAGCCGGAGAAAAACCGCAAAAAAUAUCUGUAUGACGUUCGAUGGGAAGAAAUCUCCACAUCGUCAGUGCAAGCUAAAAUUUACUGGGAAGUGGUGAUAAAAAAAAUCAUGCGGCAAAAGCUGGCCGUAAGACUUUUGCGACGGCAAAUCAGGAGACUAAAAAGUCAGAUACUGAACUUACAGACUUUAGUAAAAAAAAAGCGAUUACACACACGGAUAUCUAAUAAGUGUUCAGAAAUGCUGUAAAUAAUUAAAUGCUGUAAAUAAGUUUUGCGAUGGACGAAAAUUGUCAUGUACAGUGACAAUGUGAUUAUAUUUAAUAUAAAUGAAUUUUGAUCGACGUAUUGUAUGUUAAAUAAACCGAAUUUAAACGA